rnacentral:misc_RNA from 1 species
GAUGAAGAACGUAGCGAAAUGCGAUAAGUAAUGCGAAUUGCAGAAUUCAGUGAAUCAUCGAAUCUUUGAACGCACAUUGCGCCCGCCAGUACUCUGGCGGGCAUGCCUGUCUGAGCGUCAUUUCAACCCUCGCCCCCGGCUUCUGUCGGGGGUGGUGUUGGGGAUCGGCCUCCCGGUUACGGGCGGCCGGCCCCGAAAUAGAGUGGCGACCACGCCGUAGCCUCCUCUGCGUAGUAGUGAAAGCCUCGCAGGCGGAGAGCGGUGCGGCCUGCCGUAAAACCCCCAACUCUUCUAAGGUUGACCUCAGAUCAGGUAGGAAUACCCGCUGAACUUAAGCAUAUCAAUAAGCGGAGGA